GCUGAGGAUGGAACCCGGGCCGCACGCAUGCCAGGAGAUAAUGAGAAAAGAUGUGGAUCUUGCAUAAGAAGUCUAAAUAUGCAGGGAAGGACUAAAAUUGAAGGUUGUUUUUCUUAGAGAAAAUCACUUAUUGUAUUUAUUUGAUCAAGGAUUAGAAGAUUUAUAUGUAAUAAGAACUUCACUCCUUGAAGACUUGAAGAUUAUUGAAAUGAAAGAGGGAGUCACAAUUUUCAAAAUAAUAUUUUUUUGACCAUGUAUAAAUCCUAAUUUGAAUUGUUCUUUAAAUUAUAUCCACACAUUGUUCUACCUUUACUGAAUAAUUCAUUCUUGAAACUAGCACUGUUUGAGACAAGUUUUGUUUUUAUUUGAUCCAGGACAAAACUUGAUUAAUUUAUAGUCAACUAUUAAAAGAUUAAAAAUU